rnacentral:rRNA from 1 species
CCUACGGGAGGCAGCAGUGGGGAAUAUUGCACAAUGGGGGAAACCCUGAUGCAGCGACGCCGCGUGAGUGAAGAAGUAAUACGUUAUGUAAAGCUCUAUCAGCAGGGAAGAAAAUGACGGUACCUGAGUAAGAAGCCCCGGCUAACUAAGUGCCAGCAGCCGCGGUAAUACGUAGGGGGCAAGCGUUAUCCGGAUUUACUGGGUGGAAAGGGAGCGUAGACGGCAGUGCAAGUCUGGAGUGAAAGGCGGGGGCUCAACCCCCGGACUGCUCUGGAAACUGUACGGCUGGAGUGCAGGAGAGGUAAGUGGAAUUCCUAGUGUAGCGGUGAAAUGCGUAGAUAUUAGGAGGAACACCAGUGGCGAAGGCGGCUUACUGGACUGUAACUGACGUUGAGGCUCGAAAGCGUGGGGGGCAAACAGGAUUAGAUACCCCUGUAGUC